rnacentral:rRNA from 1 species
UACGUAGGGGGCAAGCGUUGUCCGGAAUCAUUGGGCGUAAAGCGCGUGUAGGCGGCUCGGUAAGUCCGCUCUGAAAGUCCAGGGCUCAACCCUGGGAUGCGGGUGGAUACUGCCGGGCUCGAGUCCGGAAGAGGCGAGUGGAAUUCCCGGUGUAGCGGUGAAAUGCGCAGAUAUCGGGAGGAACACCAAUGGCGAAGGCAGCUCGCUGGGCCAUUACUGACACUGAGAAGCGAAAGCAUGGGGAGCGAACGAGGAUUGAGAAACCCCU